UACGAAGGGGGCUAGCGUUGCUCGGAAUUACUGGGCGUAAAGGGCGCGUAGGCGGCCCGCUAAGUCGAACGUGAAAUCCCCGAGCUCAACUCGGGAACUGCGUCCGAUACUGGUGGGCUUGAAUCCGGGAGAGGGAUGCGGAAAUCCAGGUGUAGCGGUGAAAUGCGUAGAUAUCUGGAGGAAUACCGGUGGCGAAGGCGGCAUCCUGGACCAUUACUGACGCUGAGGCGCGAAAGCUAGGGGAGCAAACGGG
rnacentral:rRNA from 1 species